AACAGAAAGAAUGACUUACUGAGGAACCAAGUUAAAAAUGAAAGAAGUGAAAAUUGGUCAUCUGUGCAAAGGAAAUUACAAGAAAAAACUAUUGAUAGGUCUUCCUGACAGGUCUUUCUGAGGAGAAACAGCUGCAGAAUGUGCAAUCAGUUGUGUGAAAUUCCUGUUGGCGAGGCCUUUGACCUACAACUUCUGCUGAGUGAUCAAAGAGAGAACUUUUGCAGAUCCCCACUUUAGUGAUGCUGAAAGCCAGGGCAGAGGGCUUCCAUGCCCCUGUCCCCCUGCAGUGUGACCAACUGCCCUCAGAGUGGGAUUUGCAGAGGGAGACAACUCUCCUUGAUCCAUGUGGGGCUGAUGGA